rnacentral:rRNA from 1 species
ACUCAAAGGAAUAGACGGGGGCCCGCACAAGCGGUGGAGCAUGUGGUUCAAUUCGACGCAACGCGAAGAACCUUACCUGGGCUCGAACGGCUGGUGCUACCGGUGGAAACAUCGGGUGCUUGCGAUUACAUCAAGAGCUGCCAGUCGAGGUGCUGCAUGGCUGUCGUCAGCUCGUGCCGUGAGGUGUUCGGUUAAGUCCGGCAACGAGCGCAACCCCUAUGUACUGUUGCCAGCGGGUAAUGCCGGGAACUCUGUACAGACUGCCUGCGCAAGCAGGAGGAAGGUGGGGACGACGUCAAGUCAUCAUGGCCCUUAUGUCCAGGGCUACACACGUGCUACAAUGGAUGGUACAAAGGGACGCCAACUCGCGAGAGGGAGCAAAUCUCAAAAAACCAUCCUCAGUUCGGAUUGGAGUCUGCAACUCGACUCCAUGAAGCUGGAAUCGCUAGUAAUCGCGGAUCAGCUACGCCGCGGUGAAUACGUUCCCGGGCCUUGUACACACCGCCCGU